rnacentral:tRNA from 1 species
UAUGCUUUAGUAUAUGGUGUACAUUAAUUUUUGAUAUUAAAAGAAAGAGUUUAAUUCUAUUAAGCAUAA